AGAAAACAGACCUAUGGAUAAAUAGAUGAUUGGAACUGGAGAAAUCAAUGUGGACUCUGCUUAGAUGAGGAAGCUGAAAAUCAGGAAAGAAGAAAGAAAACUAACAUUUAUUGAACAUCUACUCUGUGCCAGACUCACAGAUUCCACCUCACAAGAAAACUCAUCAUCAUCUAUUUAUUUACCUACCUACUAACUACCUACCUACAUAUAUGAUUAUGCUUGAGAAAAGGGGGCCCACAUUUAGCUGAAUUAGAGACAGAAUUGAAUGUAUGUUUCAGUGUGAUUACUGUUCAUAGUGAACACAGCACAAGAGCAAUUUAAAAUGUCGCACUACUGUGUAAACAGCAUAUGACUGCUUAUACCCAUCAUUUAAUUUCUGCCUUUACCCACAAUGGCUUUCCUGACUUGAUUAUAAUAAACACCA